CCUACGGGUGGCAGCAGUGAGGAAUAUUGGGCAAUGGACGAGAGUCUGAACCAGCCAAGUAGCGUGAAGGAUGACUGCCCUAUGGGUUGUAAACUUCUUUUAUAAAGGAAUAAAACGAGGCACGUGUGCCUUUUUGCAUGUACUUUAUGAAUAAGGAUCGGCUAACGCCGUGCCAGCAGCCGCGGUAAUACGGAGGGUCCGAGCGUUAUCCGGAUUUAUUGGGUUUAAAGGGAGCGUAGAUGGGUUGUUAAGUCAGUUGUGAAAGUUUGCGGCUCAACCGUAAAAUUGCAAUUGAUACUGGCAUUCUUGAGUACAGUUGAGGUAGGCGGAAUUCGUGGUGUAGCGGUGAAAUGCUUAGAUAUCACGAAGAACCCCGAUUGCGAAGGCAGCUUACUAAACUGUGACUGACAUUGAUGCUCGAAAGUGUGGGUAUCAAACAGGAUUAGAUACCCCGGUAGUC
rnacentral:rRNA from 1 species